rnacentral:rRNA from 1 species
AUUGAACGCUGGCGGCAUGCCUUACACAUGCAAGUCGAACGGCAACACGUUUUCGGCUGCUGACUAGUGGUGAAGGGGUGAGGAAUACAUCGGAAUGUGCCCGAUCGUGGUGGAUAACGGAGCGAAACGUUUGGUAAUAUCCCCUACGAUCUACGACGGACAGCAGGGGACAGCAAGGGCUCGUCGGGCCGGGGGGGCCGAUGUCAGAGUAGGUAGGUGGUGGGAGAAAGGCGUACCAAGGCGACGAUCGGUAGCUGGUCUGAGAGGACGAGCAGCCACACUGGAACUGAGACACGGCCCAGACUCCUACGGGAGGCAGCAGUGGGGAAUAUUGGACAAUGGGCGCAAGCCUGAUCCAGCCAUGCCGCGUGGGGGAUGAAGGCCUUCGGGUUGUAAAGUGCUUUUGUAGGGAAAGAAAAGAAUCUGUCUAAUAAAGAGGGUCUCUGACGGUACCGAAAGAAUAAGCACCGGCUAACUACGUG